UGGGAUAAAGCAAAGAGAGAGAGAGAGAGAGAGAGAGAGAGAGCUGCAGAAAAAGUAAAAGGCGGAAUGGAAUUCAGGGAGUGCUGAAACAGAAGACAGCUAAUCCCGGUGUGGGGAGACGCCACCUAGUAGACACCAAGAACCAGAGGGACUUUGCUGACAGCAAUCCACAUUGCACUUUAACCAGAAUGUCAUCGACGUGGUGCCUGACAGCUACAAGACACCAUACCUGAUAAAGAUCACUUCUGACUGGUGCUUCAGCUGCAUCCACAUUGAGCCGGUCUGGAAAGAGGUGGUGCAGGAGAUGGAGACUCUGUAACUCAUCCAAAAUCAUUCAGCAGCCUUGUCAUCUGUGUAAGAUAUCCACAAACCUUUUCAGGUUUGUGGAUAUCUUAUCAUGGAUAUGAGAGAUGGGUAGCCAGUCACCUUGGUGCUCAUGGCACCCCAUCGAUACUUGAAGUCAUCAAUGGCAAAGUGAAGUUUUUCCAUUAUGCUGUAGCAAAGGAGCCCUGGAGGCAGUUUGUAUUAGACCUGCUUCCUGUCAGAGACUUGUGGAGCAGGUAAAUAUCUGGCUGUCUUGUUCGCAGUAAUGCUGAUAAACAUUGUAUUGGCAGUGCGUUACAGGAAAACAUUACAUUUGAAAGUUGUACACACCUCACAUGUAGGUGCAAGGCUAUUGGAAAUCAGCACUGAUAAAGAGUAAUGCCUGCACACUGACUCAAAACCAUGAAAUUAUUUAAGUUUUGAUCCCCCGUCUUUGUCAGAUCAGGCAUUACAACGCUGCAUUUUUCAUAUACAGUAUCUUAGAUGCCACUGACAGGAACUGAAUUACUAACACAAACGUCAAUAAUUUAUCUCUAUAUCUGCACAGCUGACAGGUUUUUGCUUAUAAGGACGUGGCUAUCUUUCAGAGAUAACAAAUUUCUCCCUGCGCCAAGGCUGGUCUAUCAGAAGCUCUUUGAUGAAUAUUUUGUUGUAAUUCUGUGGAUUUUAGAAAUGUUGCAGACAUAAUAUUAAUUUCAUGUUCUGAAUGUUUUCCAAAUGGCCACAAAUGAUGCAUUAUUAUAUUCAUGUGAUAUAGAAUUAUGUGACAUGACAAACGCAUGAAAGUGAAGUCAAACUUAGUGUGCGCUUGGUUUAUUCAUUUGUUUUGUUAACAUAAACUGUAAAAAUGUCACUGUUAAUAUAUUACAUGGAAUACUCUUUUACAAGUAGGUGUAAAUGACAUCUGCUGCUGUUUCAGUUGUUCUUCGAUAGUGCAUUCAUCAUCUUGAUCGUUGUAAUAAAAUGCAAUAUCUUUAUUGAAUAAAACAUUAAAUUGUAAUUGUUGCAGGACAGCCUGCUCAUUUGG